CCCUAGCCCCGAUUGAAACGACAUCCUUUUUGGUUGCGGCUGGAGCAUAAACUGCAGGUUUACGAACGAAGUUCUGGAAGCCGUAACCAAAAAGAUACAGUGGAAAGCGGGAUUAAGC
rnacentral:sRNA from 1 species